GAUAAUAAAUACGGUUUAAGGCACGAAUUAACUUAAUUUGGCUACUAGAAUGCCUAGGGACGCUUAUCGGACGUUACAGUGCGCGUAUGGUGAGUUUCGGGAAAACUGCGUAACGAUAAACGGUAACAAGCUGAUACCGUACAAAAUACUGACAACGCCGACAAGUACGAAUUUUAUGCGAGUAUUUUAUACUUAUAAAUCUAGUUUUCAAAUUUUUCGUACUUUCAAAACAUCACAAACGCAUGACGAUCGAAAAACGCGACGUUGACCGUGAUUGACGAACGAACGCGCAAACGCGAUUACCGACACUAAUUUACGUCUUUCGAUUUUAUAACAAUAAUUUACGACAAGGUUUAGAGAAACGGGUUCGUAUAAGUUGACGGGCCACUAAACACGGGGAUUGGGCUUGUGGGCCUUGGGCCCAAGCCCAAAGCCCACUUGACAAACCCUAUGUAUAAAUAGCAUUGCAAAGUGACAAACUCUCAUUUCUUCUUUCAAGUUUCAGCCGACACAUUCAUUGGCUCUCACCUCCUUCACUACUUCAAACCCUAAUUUCCCUUUUUCCUUCAAAACACAACUACAGACAUUUCAUAACCCUCCUUCUCCCUCUCGUUCCAUGAUCGGCUGACAACAACCCAACCCCUCCCCCUCGUUUUCAAACCGGCAGACCACGAGGUGGUCCUGAUGACCGGCGACCGAAUGAAGGAGGCGCUGCCACUCACGUCAACGGCGGUAGUCGUGCCGUGUGAUGGAUUCGAGCAAGAUCAGAGAGAGAGUAGAGAAUCUAGAGAGAGGCAGGCAAGCGGCAAGGGUCUCCAGCAGCGGCGUGGUGGUUACCGCCUGUUUUUCCGGCGACGUGCGACGGUGAGGGCUCCACCAGUCACAAUCACACCGGUAACAUCCCCAACCCAUCCUUUCUUCUCUUUUCUUUAAGAUCUGUGAAGGUCUAUCUUUCUCUGGCACGUUUGGCUCUCGUUUCAGGUGGUAAUGGUGGUGGUCGAUGGACCGAGCUGAUGUCGGACAUGGCUGCAGCACGAGAGGGAGGGGGGUGUUGACGGAAACAGUGGUGUCUGGGUAUUGGUGACCGUAAUGGUGGUGGUGUUAAUUCGAGUCUCGGGUUAGAUGCGGGCUCCAGUUCAGAUUCAUGUUCGAGUUUUUGCGAGUCAAGUCUCGUGGUUCACUUUUAGUUCAAGCGGGUCAGAUGGUUCGGUUACGGGUGCGGGUUGGUUUCGGGACAUGGUUCGGGGUUUUGUUUGAUUUGGUUUUUGGUUCGGCUUGUGCGGUUCACACGGUUAGGCAGGUUCACCGUUCGGGUCAACGACUCGGGUCAACAGGCAGUCAACGGUCAACUGCCGGGUCAACAGAAAGUUAACACGCGACCCGGUUGCAUUUUCAAAACUAUGGAACGGUUGGAAUAGGAGAAACCAUGGGAAUUCAAGUACUUAGCGGCGUUCAUUUUCUAGAAGUCUUAGCUAAUUGCUUCCGUUGUGCAAUGAAGAUACCGGUCCAGUCACGCCAUGCUCUGAUAAUUUCGGGGUGUGACAUUAUUGAUCUUCACUAAAAAUUAUUAUCACGCAAUAUCACUAGAAUGACGUUCACAUUGAAGCAUUCUCUUGUCUUGACAUUUUUUUUGUUGGCAUUUCUGUUCACCACAGUUGUUCCGUCUUAUGCUCUUGCUCCAGCAUGCCUUGGAAAUUGUAACGUAUUAAAAGAGGAUUGCUUACAACUUUGUCGAAGAGUUGGUUUCUUGACCGGUGCUUGCAGACCAGGAAUUCCUCCUAUGUGUUGUUGUCAUGAUUAGUUUGUUAACUAAACGUUGGUAGUAUUCCUUACACCAUUAUGUUAGUGGUUAUAUUAUGUAAUCCUCCUUAUGAGGAAUUUUAAUUAAUACUACCAUCGUCAUAAAAUAAAUAUAUUCUUAUCGUCAAAGUUAUUCAUCAUUUCAUUUCUCUCCAA